AACAUUCUGUCUUGGGAAUAAAGCAGAGUUCAAGUUAUGGGAAGAAGAAUUCUGUGAAGAAGUGUAAUAGUAAGAGAAGCCACUUUCUCUUCUACUCCUUGACUAUGGACUUGUGUACUGUGGCUUUGGGAGAAAUAGUGCCAUACAUUGGUCAAUGGCUCAAAGCAUAUAUUGUUCUUUGCAGACAGGCCCAACCUUACAAAAUGUUUCUCAGCUCAGGUUGUAACUGAGUCUGUAGUAGGCCAUUCCAUUGUUAUAUUGGGCCAGAUAUUUCUAGAUGGUGGGGUGUGCAGUAAGACUAUUUCUUUCUAUGAUUUGCAAACUCUAAUUACACUUCUAAGAUGUGUUCCUUAGAAGCUGUGUUGAGUAGGAUACCAUGAUAUUGAGUAAGGAAUUAUGUGGUAGUGUUGGCAGAAACACAAUGGGCAGGAAAGGCAAAUCCAUACACAGAAUAGAUGUCUAUUCUAGCACAAACAAAUGGCUUUCAUUUCCAUGAUGGAAGGGGUGCUUUAUAAUCAAUGUACCAACACGCAGUUGGCUGAUCGCCUUGGGAAAUGGUGCCAUAUUGGAGACUCACAGUUUAGAUUCUGUUCUUGAUAAUUUGGGCACUCAGUGCCAACAGAUUAGCUUGGUGAGGGGAAGUCCACUUUGUUGGGUCUGUGCUUCAUUUCUGCCACUGUGACCAUUUUGUACAUAAGCCCAUUAAAACAGAAGAUGAGGAAAGAUGCUGACUGAUAGUCCCAGAACAAGUCACUUUGUUCACCCCUAUUGUUGAAGCCUCCUCUACAGUGGAUGUACCUUGGUAAGCACUCACACAAUUUCCUUCACAUUUAGCACUCAUUCUGAAAGAUCUGUGCAUGUGUCUCUUCUUCAGCCUUCCUAGUUAUCAAUCUUCCAGGCUUGUUCUUUUCAAUUUCCUGACCAGGUGACCAAAGCAUUAUUCACUGUCCACAGAUGAGUGUACCACAGGCCAUCCCUCCUUCCUGGCUGAGGGGACUUCAAGGUGUACUGCCAAAACUUCUGCCCUCUGGGAGGGUUUUCCUUCACCAUUCCUCUUCAGCGGCAUCUCUGAGUGAGUAUACUGGUACUAGUGUAAUGUGGACACCCUUCUGUGAACCAGGCCCAAGUUGGUUUAAAUUUGUUUUUAAUUUUUUUUUGGAAAAUUUUAAAUUUUUCUCAGCAAUUUGUAAGUGCCUUGUAUUUAGAUAAU
rnacentral:lncRNA from 1 species